GAUGAAGAACGUAGCAAAAUGCGAUAAGUAAUGUGAAUUGCAGAAUUCAGUGAAUCAUCGAAUCUUUGAACGCACAUUGCGCCCGCUGGUAUUCCGGCGGGCAUGCCUGUUCGAGCGUCAUUUCAACCCUCAAGCCCCCGGGUUUGGUGUUGGGGAUCGGCUCUGCCCUUCUGGGCGGUGCCGCCCCCGAAAUACAUUGGCGGUCUCGCUGCAGCCUCCAUUGCGUAGUAGCUAACACCUCGCAACUGGAACGCGGCGCGGCCAUGCCGUAAAACCCCAACUUCUGAAUGUUGACCUCGGAUCAGGUAGGAAUACCCGCUGAACUUAAGCAUAACAAUAAGCGGAGGA
rnacentral:misc_RNA from 1 species